rnacentral:rRNA from 1 species
AUUGAACGCUGGCGGCAGGCCUAACACAUGCAAGUCGAACGAGUGGCGGACGGGUGAGUAUUGUCUGGGAAACUGUCCGAUGGAGGGGGGUAACUCCUGGAAACGGUAGCUAAUACCGCAUACCAUCAGAUGUGCCCAGAUGGGAGUGGCUAGUUGGUGGGGUAACGGCUCACCAAGGCGACGAUCCCUAGCUGGUCUGAGAGGAUGACCAGCCACACUGGAACUGAGACACGGUCCAGACGCCUACGGGAGGCAGCAGUGGGGAAUAUUGCACAAUGGGGGAAAGCCUGAGGCAGCCAUGCCGCGUGUAUGAAGAAGGCCUUCGGGUUGUAAAGUACUUUCAGCGGGGAGGCGUUACCAACAGAAUAAGCACCGGCUAACUUCGUGCCAGCAGCCGCGGUAAUAC